rnacentral:rRNA from 1 species
AUUGAACGCUGGCGGCAGGCCUAACACAUGCAAGUCGAACGAGUGGCGGACGGGUGAGUAAUGUCUGGGAAACUGCCUGAUGGAGGGGGAUAACUACUGGAAACGGUAGCUAAUACCGCAUACCAUCAGAUGUGCCCAGAUGGGAUUAGCUAGUUGGUGGGGUAACGGCUCACCAAGGCGACGAUCCCUAGCUGGUCUGAGAGGAUGACCAGCCACACUGGAACUGAGACACGGUCCAGACUCCUACGGGAGGCAGCAGUAGGGAAUCUUCGGCAAUGGGCGAAAGUCUGACCGAGCAACGCCGCGUGUAUGAAGAAGGCCUUCGGGUUGUAAAGUACUUUCAGCGGGGAGGCGUUACCCGCAGAAGAAGCACCGGCUAACUCCGUGCCAGCCGCCGCGGUAAUAC